GCAAUACAAAAGCUUUACAAUAGCAGUACACGAGCUGUACAAAGUGCAAAGUGCACCGCCGUUGCACAUGACCUGCAGGUUCACAGCUGUGAACCACAGCACUCACUGCUUUCUUCAUGCAUUUCAACUAUCCCUGAAUGACAGGUACGAAUUCAUAGCAAAUCCUAACAUGACCGAUGCAACUCAGCCAGCAACUCUUACCACGGAAAAGGGUCCAACAGUCUAACGUCAGAAAAAAUGGACACACAAAUGUUAAGCGCAUGUAACUGUACCACAAAACAGCCACUAUUGUCUUCUUAUUAAAGCGCUCAAUCCUCGCCUCCGCUGGUGUCAUCUUCACGAACGACGGCAUAUAUCUGCAUAUGAAAGGAUCACAACAAAUCAUUGUUUAGGCAGGAACAUAUACCCCGCCGGCGGACGGUCCCCUGUCCGCAACGCCGUACAUCCUGACCGUUCCAGCGGACGGCUAGCGGACGGUCAUGGAAACGAUGGUCCAAAGCUCCAAAACAUCUGUAUGUAGAUGAUUCAUGAGACGCUAAUAAUUAAUGCUCCAGCUUGCACUCCUUGGCAAGCAAUUAACGCGCAAAACACUCGCCAGGAGAAACUAACCCCAAAAUUGUGACGCACAUAGCCAAAAGGCUUCUAGCAUAAAAGGAGAAAGCAAUCGAAAGGAAAAAGACAACAUCCGAAGGCGCGCGGCGGACAUUCUAAUGACCUGUUUAUGUAACCUGCUUAAAUAACACCAACGCACUGGAACAAUUGAAUCAUGCAAUAAGGUCAUUGCAAUGGCCACAAGCACUGGGCAUUAGUGAAAGGGAUUCAGCAAAGACUGACCGUCACGCCCAACACGUCGUUCCAUCCCUUUGUCGGCUCUGAAUGGCACAAUGAAUGCUCUACUGGGUAAAUGAUCAUUUGGCGGUGGAAAGAGGCCAUUGUAUAGCAUCCGAGCUGGCGCACAGCUUGCGCAUGUCCCCAAGACCCAACACGGCACCACGCCCCGCACCCGGUUACGCCCUUGUCCUGCAUUCCACCUGCCAGCCUGUCUGUGCAACACAGCGCAUGGCGGGCAGGCCAAUGAAGCCAUACCAAAGUUUCGUUCAAGACUGGGGUCCCAAGCUCUCAGAAUCCCAGGCUGCCAGGCUCCCAGGCACAUAGGCUGCCAGGCACAAAGUCUCUUAGAAUCCCAGGUUCCCAGGCUCCCAGGCACACAGGCUCCCAGGCACACAGGCUCUUAGCAUCCCAGGCUGCCAGGUUCCCAGCCUGCCAGGCACACAGGCUGCCAGGCACAAAGGCUCUUAGAAUCCCAGGCUGCUAGGUUCCCAGGCUGCCAGGCACAAAGGCUCUUAGAAUCCCAGGCUGCCAGGCUGCCAGGUUCCCAGGCACACAGGCUCCCAGACUCUUAGCAUCCCAGGCUGCCAGGUCCCCAGGCUCCCAGGUUCCCAGGCUCUCAGAAUCCCAGACUCCCAAGCACACAUGCCCUCAGAAUCCCAGGCUUCCAGGUUCCCAGGCUCUCAGAAUCCCAGGCUCCCAGGCACACAUGCUCUCAGAAUCCCAGGCUCCCAGGCACACAUGCUCUUCGAAUCCCAGGCUCCCAGGUACACAUGCUUUUAGAAUCCCAGGCUUACAGGCACACAUGCUCCCAGGUACACAGGCUCUCAGAAUCCCAGGCUGCCAGGUUCCCAGACUCUUAGGUUCCAAGGCUCCCAGGCUCCCAGGCUCUCAGAAUCCCAGGCUCCCAGGCACACACGCUCUUAGAAAGCCAGGCUGCCAGGUCCCCAGGCUCCCAGGUUCCCAGGCUCUCAGAAUCCCAGGCUCCCAAGCACGCAUGCUCUUAGAAUCCCAGGCUCCCAGGUCCCCAGGCUCCCAGGUUCCCAGGCUCUCAGAAUCCCAGGCUCCCAGGUUCCCAGGCUCUCAGAAUCCCAGGCUCCCAGGCACACAAGCUCUUAGAAAGCCAGGCUGCCAGGUCCCCAGGCUCCCAGGCACACAGGCUCUCAGAAUCCCAGGCUGCCAGGUUCCCAGACUCUUAGGUUCCAAGGCUCCCAGGCUCCCAGGUUCCUAGGCUCUCAGAAUCCCACGUCUGUAAUUUUUCCACGUGACUAUAGACGAACUAUUUUGAGUUUUAGACGGCUCGUCUAUAGCUGAGUUUUUUAGACGAUAUAGACGACCGUCUAAUAGACGACCCAUAGACGACCGUCUAUACCCAGUCGUCUAUAGACAGGUCGUCUAUAGAUUACGUCUAUAGACGACGCGGAUAUAGACGGUUAUCUAUAGACAAGUCGGAUAUAGACACUGUCUAUAGACAGUCGGGUAUAGGCUAUUAUCUUUUAGACGGCAGUGGAUGGCGGGCAUCGUUCCUUAUUCAUGUGUUACAAUCUCAAGUCGUUUCCUCUCUGAACUUCCACCAGGGCUUCAUCCACCAUGUUAAUCAGGUUCCGGGUCCAGGUUUGUCAUUGCCAUUGACACUAGCAAACCAGUGGUUGUCAUCAACCUUGGCUGAUGAAACCUCAACCUUGGUUGUCAUCAACGACAUCAAUAUCCACAGUAUCCAAAUCCAUGUCUCCUUUAGGCAUACACAAGGCAUGCGCUUCCAGGCUCCAACCAUCCCAGCAUCACAAGUACUGAGUACUACUUAAACCAUGAGUGCUUCUCCUUUUCCUUUUCCAUAAGGACCCUGGUAAGCUCUUCCCGAGCCGCCGAGGGCUGCAAAUCCUUCCGUGCCCUCACCUCAUCCAUCACCUCCUCACUCACAACAGGAAUCAGGUCAUCUGGGGGCAACCCCACCAGGUCAUUCAAGACAAACUUAGGGUUCAGCUCGGCAGCUGUGUGCCCACCCUUGCUGUUACCAGUCACAACCCUGCGUGACUUCCCACCCUUCCCACUGGCACUGGGUGCCUGUGCCCCCUUGCCCUUUGGGGGCACACAGACAAUGCAAACCCGCUGCAGCACUGUCUCCAGCGGUAUGCAGCCGAAUGAUGCGGCUGGCUGGCCACUCCGCCUGUCAAGGGUCACGAGUGGGUGCAAAUGUGGGAUUAGUGUUUGUGGGGCUGUCAGUGUCCCCAGGGCAGGGUUAGACCUGAUCUGCCCAUGCGAUGGCCCUUCAAGUCAAGAACCUCCUGCUUCUGCAAGAUGUAGACAGCAACAGAAUGACAAAUACUACAACAUGUUCUUAUACUUUGGCCCAAAUAGACUCUGAGGUCACUCACCAGGCAGUUGCUCUCGUAUUCGUCAUCGUGUGCAGCCCCCCUGGCCGUGACAAUGUUGAGCUUGCUGGUAACCUGCAGGAGAGUACAGAAGCAAGUGACAAGCAGUGAAGCGUAGCAACUGGGGGGGGGGGGUAUCUCCAUUUUCUUGUUGGUGAAUUGGUAGCUGGCCCACAGGAUUUUGACAUAGCUUUCUUUUGGGCCGGUUGUGGUCAGGUCGGUCAUGCCAUACUGUCUAAUGUCCCUUGCUUGCGUCCUUGAAGGGUGCCAGGGCCACAUCAAGUGCGGCCUGGAGGACCUUGCGCUUCAGGGACCGGAAGGACAGGCUAUCCUUGCCCUCACCUGCAUGUGAGUGGUACACAGAGGUGGUAGUCCCACAAAGAAUUGUAGAUACCCUUCAAAGUAUCUGCAGAUGGGGUGUAGGCCUCGCCUGGAAACUGCUUGAACAGGCGCAAAAACUCCUGGAGCUUGCAACCUGCAGGCAUCACAUUUCAACUUGCAGUAAGCAUUGUGGCUUGCUAUCAACUAGGCACCAAAAACAGCAUGCUUAGAAACAGUGAGUAAUGCUGGUAAACACUGGUAACACUGGCCAAUGCUGGUAAAAACGCACCCGAGAGGUUCGCCGCGAGGAAGGUCUCCACCUCUGAAGACAAACUUUUCUCAGGUGGCUUUUCACUAUUUGCCUCUGCAUACUUGUCUAGGUGGUCAAGGUAUGAGACGCCCAUCUCGAACGUGCCAAUUGAUGGCUCGUCAAGAGGAACACUCUGCCUGCAUUCCACAUUCACCACCAGUACUGGCUCAUUGUCUGUGAAUAAUUUAUCAUUGUUGGCGACGUCUCCACCGGCAACGCAGCAGCCAGGCAGCGUUGACUCGAUAACACCCUUGCAGCCAUAGGGGUUGCGAAGGAGAUGCAGGCGCAGCUCCUUGAACUCUCGUCCACAGUGAGGGCACCUCUGGGUGGACAUAUUGAUGACCAGUCGCGGCAGGUGAGAAUGCUCAGUGAAAGUCUGGCAGUUGACCAGGGCCUCUCCCUAUGUGAUAACCAGUGAAGUAAUUGCGACACCUGUGUCACUAUCUAAUUAUAGGAAAUUACACUAAAUAGAUUUGCUGUAACGUCCUCCAGGAAUGCGCAGAAUGUCUCGCCGAGGCCUGGGCACUGCUUCACUAGCUGUGGCUGCACUACAUAAAGNNNNNNNNNNNNNNNNNNNNNNNNNNNNNNNNNNNNNNNNNNNNNNNNNNNNNNNNNNNNNNNNNNNNNNNNNNNNNNNNNNNNNNNNNNNNNNNNNNNNNNNNNNNNNNNNNNNNNNNNNNNNNNNNNNNNNNNNNNNNNNNNNNNNNNNNNNNNNNNNNNNNNNNNNNNNNNNNNNNNNCCAGGCUCCCAGGCACACAGGCUCCCAGGCACACAGGCUCUUAGCAUCCCAGGCUGCCAGGUUCCCAGCCUGCCAGGCACACAGGCUGCCAGGCACAAAGGCUCUUAGAAGCCCAGGCUGCUAGGUUCCCAGGCUGCCAGGCACAAAGGCUCUUAGAAUCCCAGGCUGCCAGGCUGCCAGGUUCCCAGGCACACAGGCUCCCAGACUCUUAGCAUCCCAGGCUGCCAGGUCCCCAGGCUCCCAGGUUCCCAGGCUCUCAGAAUCCCAGACUCCCAAGCACACAUGCCCUCAGAAUCCCAGGCUUCCAGGUUCCCAGGCUCUCAGAAUCCCAGGCUCCCAGGCACACAUGCUCUCAGAAUCCCAGGCUCCCAGGCACACAUGCUCUUCGAAUCCCAGGCUCCCAGGUACACAUGCUUUUAGAAUCCCAGGCUUACAGGCACACAUGCUCCCAGGUACACAGGCUCUCAGAAUCCCAGGCUGCCAGGUUCCCAGACUCUUAGGUUCCAAGGCUCCCAGGCUCCCAGGCUCUCAGAAUCCCAGGCUCCCAGGCACACACGCUCUUAGAAAGCCAGGCUGCCAGGUCCCCAGGCUCCCAGGUUCCCAGGCUCUCAGAAUCCCAGGCUCCCAAGCACGCAUGCUCUUAGAAUCCCAGGCUCCCAGGUCCCCAGGCUCCCAGGUUCCCAGGCUCUCAGAAUCCCAGGCUCCCAGGUUCCCAGGCUCUCAGAAUCCCAGGCUCCCAGGCACACAAGCUCUUAGAAAGCCAGGCUGCCAGGUCCCCAGGCUCCCAGGCACACAGGCUCUCAGAANNNNNNNNNNNNNNNNNNNNNNNNNNNNNNNNNNNNNNNNNNNNNNNNNNAAAAAUCACUGGUUGGAAUGGCUGUUCAUCACAGCCUGUGCUGGUGAGAGUUUUCAAAACCAGCCGGCCUGUGCUGGGAAGUUGCCAGACAUUGCAGUUAUAAAGGACCAUGACGAGCCUUUGUUGUGGGCUUGUCGAUGAGGGGUGGGCUUCACUGAAGUCUGCCCAAUUAUCUCAAACUGCUACAGUUUUGUGGUAAGGAAGUGGGAGAGGCUGGGCACUGCCUGGUCCCCACAGCAUGUGCUGGGGUUUUGUAAGUAUGGCGAUAAUCGUUACAUGCCAGGCAGUGUUAGCCUGCCAGAACCUUGCCAACAUUGAUGCAGAACAGACAUCAGCUCAGCGGCAUGGUUUAACCCAAGCAGACACUCUCCAGCAUAUUGAACUCCUCUCACCGUCUACCCAUCGUCUAUUCUUCGUCUACAAUAGAUGAAUCGACUAUAGACGACAUGUAUAGACGACUCGACUUUAGACGAACUAUUGUAGAUGACUCGUCUAAUAGACGGGUCUUCAGGAUAUAGACGACCGAAAAAAAUACAGACGCAGGCUCCCAGGCACACAAGCUCUUAGAAAGCCAGGCUGCCAGGUCCCCAGGCUCCCAGGUUCCCAGGCUCUCAGAAUCCCAGGCUCCCAGGCACACAAGCUCUUAGAAAGCCAGGCUCCCAGGUCCCGAGGCUCCCAGGUUCCCAGGCUCUCAGAAUCCUACGCUCCCAGGCACACAGGCUCUCAGAAUCCCAGGCAGCCAAGCUCCCAGGUUCCCAAGCUCCCACGCUCCCAGGUUCCCAGGCUCUCCGGUUCCCAGGCUUUUAGAAUCUCAGGCUCACAGGCACACAAGCUCUUAGAAAGCCAGGCUGCCAGGUCCCCAGGCUGCCAGGUCCCCAGGCUCCCAGGUCCCCAGGCUGCCAGGUCCCCAGGCUGCCAGGUUCCCAGGCUGCCAGGUUCCCAGGCUGCCAGGUCCCCAGGCUGCCAGGUCCCCAGGCUGCCAGGUCCCCAGGCUGCCACGCUCCCAGGUCCCCAGGCUGCCAGGUCCCCAGGCUGCCAGGUCCCCAGGCUGCCAGGUCCCCAGGCUGCCAGGUCCCCAGGCUCCCAGGUUCCCAGGCUCCCAGAUUCGCAGGCUCUCAGAAUCCCAGGCUCCCAAGUAAACAUGCUAUCAGAAACCCAUGCUUACAGAAUCCCAGGCGCCCACACUCCCACGUUCCGAGGUUCCUAGGCACACAGGCUUUUAGAAUCCUAGGCUUCCAGGCACACAGGCUCUCAGACACACAGGGUCCCAUGCACACAGGUCGCCCAUGGCUGCGGUCCAAGCCUGGCCCCAAACCGCCAGAUAAAUAUGCUCCUACAUCUAAUUGACUUAGCCGAAUGCUAGUUUUAGCUUUGUUUACAUUUCAUGCAUUUGCUGGCUCCUAGCGCUUGCAUCGAUGUAGCCCCCAGUAUAGCACAUUGCAUUACAUUAUCCAUGAAAAGAUUAUAAAACUUUAAUUCACUAUAAGCUCAGCAAAUUGCAAGGCUAAAGGGCUCAUCUGGACGCAGUUUGCAUGCCGUGCUGCCGGCUUGCGCAAGGAAUCUCUGCGCGCGCUCCACGCCCGCGCGCGCCGCGAGCACCAGGAUAAACUACAACAAAAUGUCUUUUGCUUCGUGCAAAAAUAUGUUGGUAUGUGUUGGUAUGUGUGCCCGGAAAGCUGUGCCGGACGGUCGACCGUCCGGCAGACCGUCCGCCAUGGACGGCCCCACCGUCCGCCAGGGGGGGUAUAUGAACCACACAUAGUUGUGAGCAUGUUACGUACAAUGACGGCUGUAGGUGUGACACCGGCAUAACGUGCCUCGAAAUAAGGCAAUAAAAAGCAUUUAGUUAAUAGCCAUGGUCUUGCAACCAGAGGCUUCAUACCUCCGAACGGCCGCUACGUGGCCUGCCACGUCCCGUUUGAGCCCGACUCUUGUUCAUAUCCUUACCACCAUCCUUGCGCUUGUCCUAUUCCUUGCGAUUCUCCUGCUCGUGUCCUUGGAAUGUAAAAUGACAAGGCAUAAUGUCAGUGUAUGCACCUGCAUGAUGGCCACUUACUGCCGGUGCCGUCUAGUCCCCCUUUUCCUGCUUUCCCCUGCUUGCCUGCGUNNNNNNNNNNNNNNNNNNNNNNNNNNNNNNNNNNNNNNNNNNNNNNNNNNAUGCUAAUUCAUUAGGCUUUACCUAACACUGUCGUCAUUGGAGGAUCAGCGUGAGUAUAAGAAAUGCAUACGCGCUAAACAACAAAU
rnacentral:lncRNA from 1 species